GAUGAGAGACCCCUGCAGUGGGGCCCUGCGAACCUGGUCAGGGGAGAAAUCCAGCAGCCAUAAGCGGUCAGCUUCAGGUGCGGUGGGUCUCUCAUCGAU
rnacentral:SRP_RNA from 1 species